GACGAACGCUGGCGGCGUGCUUAACACAUGCAAGUCGAACGGAAAGGCCCUGCUUUUGUUGGGUGCUCGAUUGGCGAACGGGUGAGUAACACGUGAGUAACCUGCCCUUGACUUUGGGAUAACUUUAUGAAACUGGGGCUAAUACCGGAUAUGAGCUCCUGCUGCAUGGUGGGGGUUGGAAAGUUUCGGCGGUUGGGGAUGGACUCGCUGCUUAUGAGCUUGUUGGUGAGGUAGUGUCUUACCAAGGCUUUGACGGGUAGCCUGCCUGAGAGGGUUAACGGCCACAUUGGGACUGAGAUACGGCGCAGAAGCCUACCGGAGGCAGCAGUGGGGAAUAUUGCACAAUGGGCGGAAGCCUGAUGCAGAAACGCCGCGUGCGGGAUGACGGCCUUCGGGUUGUAAACAGAUUUCGCAUGUGACGAAGCGUGAGUGACGGUAAUGAGUAAAGAAGCACCGGCUAACUACGUG
rnacentral:rRNA from 1 species